AAGUUAGCCGGGGCGUUAUUCUUGCAGGUACCGUCAUUAUCGUCCCUGCCAAAAGAGUUUUACAACCCUAAGGCCUUCGUCACUCACGCGGCAUGGCUGGAUCAGGCUUUCGCCCAUUGUCCAAUAUUCCCCA
rnacentral:rRNA from 1 species